GAGGCAUGGGCUCACUGGUAGACCAUCUGCUUUGCAUGCAGAUGUUCCUAGGUUCAAACCCCAGCAUCUUCA
rnacentral:tRNA from 1 species